CUUUUUGCUGUUGACAUGGAGCUUUAGUCUGUUCAAGUAACUUUAAUGUCAACAUUCAAAACAACACCGUGAUAAUUACGCAAAUAUGUCCAAUGACUUAACUACUGUAAUUGCUGUUUAUGUUAGCAAAGAAACACUUGGUUAACUUCAUGUCUAUCGUCUGUCGGUGGCUAACCAAACACUACCGUGCUACCAAUACUGCUAGUGAACCAAAUGCUCUUUUAUCACGAAUCUAAAAAUACGAUUCAAUAAAUCACCGGCCAUUUUGGCAGUUAUUCGACAAGCCAUCCUAACAGCGGCAGACCACACAGUGACAGGCUCUGAGGGGAGACUGCAGGCUGAGUCACAGAUGUGAAUGGACUGGAGGCUCACCGCGCCACUCAUCUGACGAAAACCACUACGCAAACAAGCUCCCAUUCACAACGACACAGCUCAAAACACCAGGAACAAUGUGUGCAGAGGAGCAGGCUGACAGUGGAGGAUGCUGCCUGUCUCCAUUAUCUUUAUGGUUUAUGCCUGGGCCAGACGGAC